rnacentral:rRNA from 1 species
CAGUAGGGAUCUUCCACAAUGGACGAAAGUCUGAUGGAGCAACGCCGCGUGAGUGAAGAAGGUUUUCGGAUCGUAAAACUCUGUUGUUGGAGAAGAAUGUAUCUGAUAGUAACUGAUCAGGUAGUGACGGUAUCCAACCAGAAAGCCACGGCUAACUACGUGCCAGCAGCCGCGGUAAUACGUAGGUGGCAAGCGUUGUCCGGAUUUAUUGGGCGUAAAGCGAGCGCAGGCGGUUUUUUAAGUCUGAUGUGAAAGCCUUCGGCUCAACCGAAGAAGUGCAUCGGAAACUGGGAAACUUGAGUGCAGAAGAGGACAGUGGAACUCCAUGUGUAGCGGUGAAAUGCGUAGAUAUAUGGAAGAACACCAGUGGCGAAGGCGGCUGUCUGGUCUGUAACUGACGCUGAGGCUCGAAAGCAUGGGUAGCAAACAGGAUUAGAUACCCUGGUAGUCCAUGCCGUAAACGAUGAGUGCUAGGUGUUGGAGGGUUUCCGCCCUUCAGUGCCGCAGCUAACGCAUUAAGCACUCCGCCUGGGGAGUACGAUCGCAAGAUUGAAACUCAAAGGAAUUGACGGGGCCCCCCCC